rnacentral:lncRNA from 1 species
ACAAACCCCUUGCUGGAUCUGCCAUUUUUCUAUCUUAUAAACAUGUUGGUUUAGGCCAUUUGCUUUUUUGAUUAUGAGAAUUUAUUUCAGACUUAAAGAUUAGAUACUUUUGAGUCUCUGGUUUCUUGGUUGCAAAUUUACAAAGAGUACAUAAGCUUCUCCAACACUGUCUUCAUUUAAUCGACGGCGGCCUGAAUAUCGGUAGAUUGGGGAGGAAGAUUGGGACCAGGGAACUUGAAGAGUGUGCUACCUUUUUUCUAAUUGUAUUUCAAUAUAUCUCGUUGUAUUUUACUGUAUUCAUUAUCUUUUUUUCCAUUCUGUUUUCAAUAUAUCUCGUUGCAUUCUAUAUAUUUCAUUGUAUCCGUUGUCUAUUUUUUUCAUUGAUUUCAAUAUAU